CAGUACACUCACCACAGCCGCUGGCCCGGAUGCUAAGCCCCUCAUUGCCGGGGCGGCAGAGCGGGCCGGCUGCUCCCAGUACGCUGCGUGCCAAAACCACGCCCACCCGGAACUCCAGCUGGCCCGCAAGCGCCGCGCGCAGCCCGGGUUCCCGCUCCCGCUUCUCCCACCACACUUCCCUGCAAGCUGAGAGAAGCGGCUCUGGCCUUGGGCAGCCCAGAAAGGGGCUCCCUCAGUGCAGCGGUGGGCUGAAGGGCUCCUCAAGUGCCGCCAAAGUGGGAGCCCAGGCAGAGGAGGCGCCCAGAGCGAGCGAGGGCUGUGAGGACUGCCAGCACGCUGUCACCUCUCAGAACUAUUUACUCAGAAUGAGUGAAGAGACAGUCUUGCUCUGUUGCCCAGGCCGGAGUGGAGUGGCACAGUCAUAAUUCCCUGUACCCUUGAAAUCCUGAGCUCAAGCCAUCUCCAUACCUUAGCCUCCCAAGUGGCUACUACAGGACUGACUGAUAGUAUUUUCCUUUGGAAGAUCCUUUUAUAUUCUGUCUCUAUGAAAGAAGUGUUUUCAAUGAAAUAAGGCUGCUAUGAAGAAAUACCCAAGACUGGGUACUUUCUCAACUUUCAAAUUGAGCUGUUCAGAAUGUGUGAAACAAUUUUAAGAUGAAGUCAAAGAUACUUGAAGCAGAAGCUGUAUCUGAGGAAGCUGUAUAUAAACCCAAUUUAAAGCAAGAUGAGAACUCAGCACAGGCACUGCAGCCACGGAGGUUUCCAGAUAGAAAAAUUGACACCCCUGAGAUCCCAUAACAUUUUGGGGACUCAUCUGGGAUCUGCGGAAGGAGCUUGACUCUUUUCAUUGGCAAUAAAUGGCGCCCCAACAUGGGGACUCAGAGAAGACUCAGGAGCCCCAAGCAGUUGUCCGAAAUCAGAGCUAAGGUACCAGCCAGGGUUAAUUGAAGACUCACCAAGUUCAAGCUUCUCCUUUGGUGGAACUGCUGAGAUUGAAGAACACUUGAAAAUUAUCAAGAAUGUACUGCGGAGUAUUGAAAUUGCAAGUUAUCAUCAAAGGAAGCUUACUCUUAUUUGUGGAAAACAAACACAGAAAAAAGAAGAAGGAAGGAAGGAAGGAAUCAUACCUUCCCUGUUUCAAAUAACAAGCAUCAAGCAUCGUGAUAAUGUGGACACUAAGGAGCAACAAUUUCUCUAAAGAUAAGAAUAAAGAUAGACUUUUAGACUACGAGAUGGGCCUGAAAAAAUAUCUGAUCAAGCUACUCAGUUUUACAGAUGAAGAAGGUGAAGCCUGGGAAAACCUAAAGAACCUAUAUAAGGUUCUCAGAUAGACACCAUGUUAUCUGCUUGAAUGAAGAAAAUUUGGUAACAUGUUUGCUGAUCUUAAUCUACUAUACAUUUUUUUAGCUUGUCAACUUGAACAAGUUUCUCAAUUAUUUCCUCAUCUAUUUUUUCUGAUAAACUUAACCAAAUCUUGUAAAAUGAAUGUUUUGAAAACGUAUAUCUUAAAGGAGCAUUUUCUAAUUUAAUAUUGAUGUUUUAUUAUUUAUUGAAUCAAGGAAGUUAUGCAUAUUUUGCAUAAAUAUGUGCUACCUUAUGUAUGAUAAUAUUUUUCUCCACAGUCACAUAUUAAUCUGUCCUGACAUUUUUCUAUAAUAAACAUCAUUAUCUGAGACAGAAAUGACAGGAAAAAUUUAUCCAUUUUAAUGAUAUCUAAUUAAAAUUUGUGUCUAACCUUAAUUGAAAUAUAUAUAUAUAUUUCAGUUAGUAAAAAAGGAAAGUCAAUUGAUGAUGCAUUAAGUGUCAGCAUUAUUACAUAGAGAUUGGAAGACAUUAGGUACAAAUGUGAAUCUGCAAGAGUACCAUUUGUAUAUUGCUAAUUACUUGAUACUGUGUCUUUUUAAGAAAGCUGUUACUCUUUAUUCACUCUAGAGCAUUUCAGACAAUUAAUUAGGCAUUCAUUAAUAGAUGAUUAAACAUUUUGUCUCUACAUUGCUUGAAAGGAGUUGUAAAUUACAUCUUGCCCAUGUUGCUAAUUUGCUGUCCAGCAAACAGACUUGCCUGUGGAAAUUUUGUAAAUCAAGCUUAUGAUAUAUUGGCCAUAGAUUGUUUGUCUUCCAAUUCCUCUUAGCUGUUGAUAAUGCAAAUCAAGCCACAUGAAUGAUAACCUGAUAGAAGACACUGCUUUGAAAAGCUAUACUCACAUUAAUACAAACUGUUCAGAAUUGUUAUGUGGAACAUUUCUCUCUAUAAUUGAGAAGAUAAACAUGGCAAAUAAUAUGCUGCUUCAUCAAGUUUUGCAUGUGAAUCAUUCCCAAAGUGAACUUUGAAAAGAGCUCCAUAAAUUCCAUCAGAAAACAAUGAAAUAUAAAACAUCACAGUCCUUUACCAUAGCUAAGCCAGCAAAUAAAUAUCAGGUAUAAAAACUCAUAUUGAUAAAAACCAAACUUUACUUAACGUUACAGAAGUCCAAAUGAUUUUAUCAAGAUAAUAUGUGAUUUAAUAUGUGAAUCUAUAAUAAAGAAUUCUGAGGCUGAGUGUGGUGGCUCAUGUCUGUAAUCCCAGCUCUUUGGGAGACCAAGGCGGGUGGAUCGCCUGACAUUAGGAGUUCGAGACCAACCUGGCCAACAUGGCCAGACCCCAUCUCUACUAAGAAUACAAAAAUUAGCCAGGUUUGGUGGCUCAUGCCUGUAAUCCCAGUUACUCAGGAGGCUGAAGCAUGAGAACUGCUGGAACCUGGAGGCUGCAGUAAGCUGAGAUCGUGCCAUUGCACUCCAGCCUGGGUGACAGAGCAAGACUCAGUCUCAGAAAAAAUAAAUAAAUAAAAAUAAAAAAUAAAAAAAUAAAAUAAAAUUAUGGUCACACAAGUUUCUAGAAAACCAACUUAUUUCUGAGAUAGCCCAGAGGUGACAUACACUGACUAACCCACUGAGAGUAUGUUUUAUUCUUUGCUGAACUACUAGAACCUAGACUAGAGCCUCACAUGCAAAAAGCAUUCAGUAAAAAUUGUGUUUACAGAAAAUUACUAUAGGACAAUAAUUAUGUCUUAUAAGUGGGUUUGUUUAAAGGGUUUAUCAUUUAUUCUAAGUCACACAUUUUACUCAGAAAUACUAGCUUUGUCCUGGAAAGUUCAAUUAAAUAGAGAAAAGGAACAAGAACAUACAUUCAAGCCAAAAUAAGCAAAGCUUUGCCUCAAGAAGGGUUGAUGGAAAAAACAGAAAACAGAAAGCACUACAGUUUAAUGAGUUACAGACUGCUCAGCAGAAAAGACAACAUAGACAUAUAAUACAGGUCUUUCUGCUAAUAUAUUCCUUUCUUUGCUUAAAACUAAGUACAGAUAUUACUUUGGAACCCUUUGAAUGUGGGAAAUUAGUUUCCUCCUCAGCAUUGUCCUCUACUACUUUUCGGAGUAUAAUGUGUAUGACAUUCUCUCAGUAAAAUUUUGAUACACUUGAUAGUUGAAGGUUAAAGAAGAGUAGAAAUCAUCUUAACACCUUACUAAUGGGAAAUUUUUUCAUAGGAAUACACAUAAUUUCCAGAAAGUUACCUUUUUAUAGAGGGCAUCAUGCAUAAUAACACCUUUUGGCUCAAAAUAGAAAUUAUUUUUAAGCUUAUACUUUUGCCAUACGUUAGAGCAACUACUGAUUUAGAUUGUUCUGUUUUACUGUUCUAGAAUCAUUCCACACUUGCCUCUUGGCAUCCAUAAUCAGAAAAGUAAAUCAAGAAAUAAACUAUAAACUGAUCAAUGUUUUAUUAUUUUCCUUAUAGCCUUUUAUUUUACCAUGAGGAGUUUCUGUAUGUAAGGCACUUUAGAAUAUGAAUGAUUUUCAUGGCAUACACAUAAGGGACUAUUAAAAACAACUGACAUGUUUUUGGUAAAGUAUUUGACUGUUUAUUCUUCAUGUAACUGAAAAUAUUCAGCAUUGAAAGAGUUUGCAUUUCAUGAUGGCUACAAAGUUGAAAUUUACAUUCUGGUUUCUUAAAGGCAGGAACUACAUUCUGCAAAGGGCAAAUUUCAAAAGACAAAACUUAAUCCUUAUACUAGCAAAAGUUUGAUUAGAUAAGUUCUACAUACUUAGCUGCUUAUAUAAAUACAGGUGGCUGAGGCUGAAAAUGAAUGCCCCAGGAAGAAGUAAAUCAAUUUUACAAAAAUUAUCAAAUGGCAUAAUGAUGGGCACACAAUGCCCUCCACCCACAGCUGUUCUUGCAUUUCUAACAUAAAAGGCAGCACAAGACAGAAGGGAAACACUGACAAAUAGAUUGGUUCUGCCAUUUCCUUAGCAUUAUGUGCCCUGUCACUUUUUGAAUUUCUUAGAUAAGAUGCAAUUUCUCUUUAGUUUUUAAUGCCCUUUUAGAUAUUUUUUGUUACAGGAUUCGUUACCAUGAAUCCAAGGGACUUUAUUUUGGCACUUUGACAGAAAGGAUUGGACUGCUUAAACAAGAACUAAUAAAUAGCUUCCAUUUCCUACAUGAAAAAAGUAAUACAUGUUUAUGCUGUUUCCUGGAUUGCACAUGUAACUGGCAGCAAGAAACACCCUCGGAAUAGUAAUCAUAAAAUAUCCUUGUUUAUUCCAAAGCAUAACUAUAGAAAUGUGUGACAAUCUGAAUUUCUUUUGUAUGCCAAAAUAUGCUGAGAAAGUACUAAUGAAUGCUGUGCCAUUCUAAUUUUGUAUUAAUGAAAUAAUUUAUUAUUUUUUCAGUUUUAAUUAAAAUUGGCUUUGCAUCAAACUGUGCUUAUCACAUUGAUCACAUGAUAAAAAGGGAAUUUUGUCAUUUAUCAAUAAAAAUGAUUAUGUGUAUUAUCUAACCAUUAAUGACACAUUUUAGAGUGUGAAGAUGUUGGCACACAUUUUCAUUAUUUUUUUGUUUCCUGAAAAAAUAAUUUAUUAUUGCCAUGUUUAUGGUUCCAUCCUGUGCAAUUAAUUAUUACAGAACAAAGCAAGACUAACAAAAGUUUUGAUAGUAAUACAAGCAGUCAGAUUGAAAUUUCAGUCUUUUGGCUAUUGACAUAAGUUUCAUAUCAGUAAUAAAUUACUUGAGGUGUCAA
rnacentral:lncRNA from 1 species